AGUGAACGCUGGCGGUAGGCCUAACACAUGCAAGUCGAACGGCAGCACAGUAAGAGCUUGCUCUUACGGGUGGCGAGUGGCGGACGGGUGAGGAAUACAUCGGAAUCUACUUUUUCGUGGGGGAUAACGUAGGGAAACUUACGCUAAUACCGCAUACGACCUACGGGUGAAAGCAGUGGAUCUUCGGACCUUGCGCGAUUGAAUUAGCCGAUGUCGGAUUAGCUAGUUGGCGGGGUAAAGGCCCACCAAGGCGACGAUCCGUAGCUGGUCUGAGAGGAUGAUCAGCCACACUGGAACUGAGACACGGUCCAGACUCCUACGGGAGGCAGCAGUGGGGAAUAUUGGACAAUGGGCGCAAGCCUGAUCCAGCCAUACCGCGUGGGUGAAGAAGGCCUUCGGGUUGUAAAGCCCUUUUGUUGGGAAAGAAAAGCAGCAGGUUAAUACCCCGCUGUUCUGACGGUACCCAAAGAAUAAGCACCGGCUAACUUCGUG
rnacentral:rRNA from 1 species